rnacentral:rRNA from 1 species
UAGGGGGCCAUCCCGGCUUACCAACCCGAUGCAAACUGCGAAUACCGGAGAAUGUUAUCACGGGAGACACACGGCGGGUGCUAACGUCCGUCGUGAAGAGGGAAACAACCCAGACCGCCAGCUAAGGUCCCAAAGUCAUGGUUAAGUGGGAAACGAUGUGGGAAGGCCCAGACAGCCAGGAUGUUGGCUUAGAAGCAGCCAUCAUUUAAAGAAAGCGUAAUAGCUCACUGGUCGAGUCGGCCUGCGCGGAAGAUGUAACGGGGCUAAACCAUGCACCGAAGCUGCGGCAGCGACACUGUGUGUUGUUGGGUAGGGGAGCGUUCUGUAAGCCUGUGAAGGUGUGUCGUGAGGCAUGCUGGAGGUAUCAGAAGUGCGAAUGCUGACAUAAGUAACGAUAAAGCGGGUGAAAAGCCCGCUCGCCGGAAGACCAAGGGUUCCUGUCCAACGUUAAUCGGGGCAGGGUGAGUCGACCCCUAAGGCGAGGCCGAAAGGCGUAGUCGAUGGGAAACGGGUUAAUAUUCCCGUACUUGGUGUUACUGCGAAGGGGGGACGGAGAAGGCUAUGUUGGCCGGGCGACGGUUGUCCCGGUUUAAGCGUGUAGGUGUGUGUUCCAGG